UUGAGGUACAGCCUGCCCAAUGUGUAUAUCAAUGGCCGCGGUAUUCUGACCGUGCGAAGGUAGCAUAAUCAUUAGUCUCUUAAUUAGAGGCUGGCAUGAACGGCUAAACGAGAAAAGUACUGUCUCUAAUAGAAUCCUUGAAAUUCAUUAUUAAGUGAAAAAGCUUAAAUGUUUCUGAAGGACGAUAAGACCCUAUAGAGCUUAAUUUUUUUAUAGUUAGGAUUUAAAAGACGUAGUAAAGUUAACUAGCCAAAAAAUUUUGUUGGGGCGACAGAAAGAAAAUAUUCAACUCUUCAUCAUAAUUACAGCCAUCGCUGUUAAAAAGAUCCUCGUUGAGAGAUCAUAAGAACAAGUUACCUUAGGGAUAACAGCGUAAUCCUUUCCGAGAGUUCACAUCGACGAAAGGGUUUGCGACCUCGAUGUUGGAUUAAGAAUUUGCUUAGGUGCAGCCGCUUAAGUAAAAGGUCUGUUCGACCUUUAAACUCUUACAUGAUCUGAGUUCAA
rnacentral:rRNA from 1 species